ensembl:lncRNA
GUGAAUGCAAAGAAAGAAAGGCUGUGAGGAUCAAACAAAGUUAACUGUAUGAAUGAAGUAAUCUUAUGCUCUUCUUAAACAAAGAGUGCUCUGAAGUGUCUGCGAAUAACUCAUCCAGCUGAAAUGAUAAAGUACACCAGACUGAUGGAAAACAUAACAUAGACAGGUCAUCGAUACAGGAAAGAAAGAAAGAAAAAAAGGCAGGAGAAGAGGAGGAGAAUCACUUUCGGAUUAUCAUGGCAGCACCUGAAGUUUUGUCCCUUCUCUACUUUUUCUGGAGACUGCACAGAGAGUAAAUAGGACCUCCUGGCAACAAUAGUACAAUACUCUGAUUUCAGAACAGUGUAUGUUGUACUGAGAGCCAUACCUAAAAUAUCUGUGGAUUCUAGAACAGAACGUUCAGGCCUAUUGUCCUGGGAAAACUAAAAAUGAACAAAAUCAAUUUCAUAGAUGGUUCAGAUGUUAAUGCCUACCUUGUGUCUGAGGCAAAAAAUAAACACAGAUGUACAGAUAUUAUUUAACUCAUAUGAAAAAGAAGUCAUUUUCCAACCAUGCUGCAACUGCAUUUAAUGGAAAACUCACAGGUAAUCUCCUCCUCAGUUCUCUCUCUCAAGCAAGAUGAGACAGAGGGAGCACUUCCAUAAUUUCCAUCACAUAAAUUAUCAUAGAAUCCUUAGAGUUGGAAGGGACCCUUAAAGGCCAUCUAGUCCACCUCCCCUGGAAUGAAGAGGGACACCUACAGCUACAUCAGGUUGCCCAGAGUCCUGACCAGCCUGACCUUGAGUGUCUCCAGGUAUGAGGCAUCCAUCUCUCUGGGCAACCUCUGCCAGUGCUUCAUGACCAAGAAGAGAAAGAUGAAGAAGAUGAAGAUGACAAAGAAGACAGAGAAAUAAAAGAAAAAAAAAAAAAAGAAAAAACACUUUGUUGUAGCCCAAGCUGUCUAUAAAAGAAAAAGCAGAGCUGUACAUAAAAUAAAAUGUUACAAAAAAGAGAACAAUCUGCUUUGCAUAAUUUGGCUAAGACUAGACGUAUUAAUAUAGUAAUAUAUAUUACUAUAGGCUAGAUAUAUUAAUACAGUAAUAUUUUCUGAUGGAAACUUUUCCAGAACUAUCAUAAAUCAGUGACAACAUUAAAGUGAGUAUGUCAAGAUAAUUAGGAAAAUGGAGAAUAUUAUUUCCUUAGUUCUAUUAUGCAUUUAUAUUUUAGGAUUGCAUAACUGUCUUUCUAAAUGUAAUCACCCAUGCUCUACAUCAAAUGUACAUAUAUAAGACAUAAACUAUUAACAGAUCCCCAGUUUGUUCAUGGAGUGACUGGUAUGUUAAAAAAGGGUGAUUGGAUUUACUCUUUAGAAAACAACACUCUACUUAUGGAAAAGAAAAGCAAGCCUUGGUAAGUAUCAUGCACUUUAUCUUUCAUAAUUAGUUUUGCUGUCCAUGCAUGGGCAGUUGCAUUUGGCUGUCCCACAUGCAUGCUUCAAGCUGUAGUUCAGUCUCAGCCUUGAGUUUCAGGGAUUUUGACAUGUCGUCGUUUAUCUCCCUACUUUAUGCAACAAGGAAACAUAUUUACAGCCUUCUGACCCUUUGCAUUGUGUCUCUAAGUACAACGUAUAAAUUUAUGUGCAUACCAGGAAUCCCCUUGCAUCUAGUGAAAUCCACAUGUAAUUUUCUGUGCCCAUAUUCCACCAUAUUUUUACAUGAACACAUGGCUUUUAUAACAGAUCCUGCUCAUAAUUUGAGGCCUGCCUUUUUCUGCAAUCCAGCCAUGGAAUGGAUUUUUAUUAAUAGGGCCCUAAGACUUUACACUUGACUUUGGAAAAAGAGCGGGCACUGGUGCCAAGUUUUGAACUACAUGAUCAUAAUUCGGUCUGUUGUGUCACACACAUUCAAAAAGGUAGUUCUAAAAUUCAUGUCCUC